AUUUAUUUUAGCCAAGCCAUUAAAAAGAAAUUAAAAAAGUGAAAGGAGUAAAGGGAGAGUGAGAAUUGAGAGAUUCUCAGUUGCCAAACACCCCUGAGUGGUAGGCCAAUGUCUGGCAAUGUCUCUUCUUCUUAGUUCCUCUCCACUCCUUCACAUUGCAUCCUCAACUCUUCCCCCUACCUCCAACAGUCACUUCCCCCCUCCACCACGCCCCACUCUCUCAUAUCCUUCUCCUUCUUCUUCUUCUUCUUCUUAUUCGGAACGACGACGUUUUAUCUCCACGGUGAAACCCCUUUCACUCCCUUACUUUCCCAAAAUAUCCCAUUAGCUGUUGCUCUCCCUCCUCCAUGUCCUCCGAGGCAUCCCCUUCGACCUCUCUGGUUCUCCCAUUCGCUUCUCCAAAGACAGCUUGUUGUAUUCAGGAGCGUACUGUGUCAGUGAAUCCAUUAUUGCAUGGAAUGUGGAUGUUGGAAAUGAUUGCUGCUGCUUAUUUGCUGGUAAAGGCGCUGCUUUGUCAUUUGCUGAUGAUGGUAUUCAAGGUGAUAGAAAAGUUUCCUCGUAUUUGGGAUUACCAAGCUUUCACAUUGCCUCCUAGUUUGGAUGUCAAACCUCCAGUCAAGUGCCAAUUAUCAGUUUCUACUUUCUAUCCAGAUGUGUCUGCAGUUGCCUGGUUUUGGACGAAUUGUUCUCGUAUAAUGGCCCCAUUGGUGCACUUUACUCAAACAAAUCUGUGUCGCUUUUCCUCUGGGCGCCUACUGCUCAAGAAGUACGGGCUUACAUUUCUAAAGAUGUGUCAGCAGAUAAUCCCCAAGAAAUUGUCUAGCUGGAGGAGGAUAAUGGUGUUUGGAAAACUAAAGGGCAAAAAGAUCACAGACUCUCAUCAUGCCCAGGGGACGUUGUUUGAAAAUCUUGGUUCUGACACUUUGAAGCUUGAAGGAUGGGAUGAAUUGGCAGAUCAGAAACCUGAUGUACUUUCUUUCUUGGACAUAAGUGUAUAUGAGUUGCAUAUAAGAGAUUUCAAUGCCAGUGACCGCGCUAUGGAGACCAAAUUUCCUGGUGGUUAUCUGACCUUCACUAUGCAGUUUCAACGAUCGGAUUCGGGUUGCAAUACUUGGUGGAUCUUCAUUUGGCCAUCCUCUUCAGCAAGGAUUUGCGACUGCUCUAUUUUUCAGCCUAAUGGUCACAACCAGGACACAGCUGCUGAAAAACUUAUGCUUGCUGUGUCAAAAGAUCACAUCCAAGUUGGGAUGGCUGCAAAUUUGAGGGACUUUGUUCUAACCGAUUAUGAGGGAAGAAGGUAAAAGGGUUGGAAGUAUUAACUCAUGAUGGAUUUCCAGUUUCAUAUGCUUCAUGCCCUACUGAAACUCAUCAUCUUUUAUGUUCUAUGGUAAAUCUCUGGAUACCUUGUGUGCAAGCCCAUAAUCUUUAUGAGUUCAGGUGAAUCUUUCAUCCCGAGUUCUUUGGAAAAAUUAAGGAUUCAUUUAUACUUUUUGGAUCUCCUUUUCUUAUAAUAGAUAGGAAAAGCAAAAUCUUUGAUUGUUAAUCAAAGGACACACUCGUCUACAAAAUGCUGACAAUCUUUUUAUGGUGAACCCAAACAAACUUGAAAACAUGAGUUAUCUAACAACAACAGUCAAUAUGGAUGAAUGUAAGAGAGAGGGAAUCUCAAUGGCUUUGGGAUCAAGGGUAUUGGUAUUUUUCAAGGCAGUUGGAGGUCUUACCGAAGGUAUCCUCAUAAAGAGAACAACCCCAUAAUUUAUUUAAGCAACGUAAGAAGGUUAAUUCAAUUAAGCUUUUGAAUCUCUUGGCUAUUCUGCAUUCAUGCAUGUGGUUUUUUUUAUUUUUUUAUUUUUUUAUAAUUAUAUAUCUAUAUAUAUAUAUAUACACACACACCUUCCUUUUAUUGUUUAACUUCGUUUCAUAUUAACCAAUAAAAAAUGCAAAAUAAGGAAGGUGUAUUCCUUUUAUAUAAAAUUUUCACUUUCUGUAUCCGUAAGUUGGUAAUUACUUUAAACAACCAAAGUAGCUGGUAAUCAACAACAUUAUUCAAAUAAGAUAUAUAUGUCACUUCAUUUUACAUGAUAAUUUUAAGUAAUAUGUACAAUCGUUCUAUUUGAUUUAUACUCUUUAUAUGCUUUUUUGCUUGCACUUUUGUACCCUGCUACGUUCCUGAAAAAGCAGAGGCACCUGCUUCUCUGGAUACUUGUCAAUUUAAAAUUUAAAUUCUACAUCAAACAUUAUCACUACUGUGUAUGCUUCUGAUUUUCUCAAAAGUUUCUGUGUUUUGAUGCUAAUUUCUGUUAUGACUCUUAAUAGAUUAUCAGGACCAUUGAUAGUUGUCAGUCUUUGACAUUUUGAACCUGACUCUAAUGACGAUAACAUUGCAAAACCAUGUUAUUGAUAUAGUAAAAACUUUUCAUGUUCAUUACGUUUCUGCUCAUAACAAUGAAACCUUGUUUGAUAUUGUGAGCCUGAAGGUAAGAUCAAUAUAUUGUAUAUGUAAGUUUAAAAAUGUUUCAUCUUGUUUCAAACUUAUUGUCUAACUCAGUCCUUUACUUAUAGAUUCCAUUUGGAAUUUCUUUGGAUGAAAGAUGUAGGAUAAAUAAUUUGGCAACAAGUAUAAUAGCGUUGUGAUGGAUUUAACUACUUCUGUGUCUGUAUAUUAUGGAAUUCUUUUUGCUUCGUCUUUUUUUAUGUUUUAUGUUCUUUUGGUGUUUUGAUUAAACCAAUUGCUGCUACAUUAGCAUUUAAAGUCAAAUGUAGUUCAUAGCCAUAGAGAGCGUAUAACAUAGAAGAUGUGUUUGUCUUUUAAUCUCAUUGAUUAGUAGUAAGAGAAUUCUUAUCUUAAGCGCAUGAUUGGGCAAUCUUUGAUGAACUAUGCUUCUCAUGGACAAGAUGGACUGUUUUUCAUCAAUUAGAUCUCUGUUUUUAAAGCUCUGAUGCUUUCCCCUACUUGUUAAAAAGAAGAAACCUUUAUGCAACUUUGCGUACAGUGAAGUAUUUUGCUGCAUUGAAGUUGCAAAAGUGCUAGCAUUACAAGUGCAUCCUUAAACCAACUAGCCAGUUCAAUUAUCUUAGUUAAUACAAGACCAUAAGGGGGAAAAAAGAAAAAAGAAAAAGAAAAAAAGGUAACAAAUACACUUGAAUUAUUUGAUGGAUACAGCAGAAUAGUUUGUGUCAUCCAACUCCAUAUGAGUAAAUAUAUUUCAGGUUACUUCGAUAUGCAUUAUUUGUAUGUAGAAUGUCAAACUCUUAUUCCAUGUGGUAUAAAUUAAUAAUUUUGUAUUCAAUAUUAUUCGCUUACCUCUGAAUAAUGUAAUUUUCCAAUUCCAGUAACAAUCAACUCGUUAUCUUUAUUUACAGUUAUCUUAAACUAGUAUAUGCUAAUAAAUUCAUUUUUUGGUUGUUUGUUUAUGCAUGCAUUAUGUUUGGGUUUGUGUGCAACAGUACGUGCUUGAGUGCUUGUGCCAUGCAGACACAGAGUCAACCAGUAUCUAAAUAAUUUCUGGCUCCAGGGAAUAUUGUUUUUCCAUUCCGGUAAUGAGAUGCUACACUCAAAGUAACUUGAUUGUGAUUCAUACAGCUCUGGUGAUUGGAUCAACGGGUACACUUAAUAUCUUUAUUUUCGUUCUAUAUGUAUGUUUAAAUAAGCUUAUUGGUAUUCACUUGACUACAAAUGGAUAUUUCUAUCCUAUUUUAUCCAUCUUCUUUUUUCUUUUGUAAUUGAAGAGGAUUCACUACAACCUACACAGAAUCCAUCUACCUGAAAUUUGAUUCUUAGUCUGGAUUUCCAGACUUGAUUUUACUUACAAUUCCAACUAUUGGGAAGUUGGACAUCCUCCAGAAGAGAAGAAUGGGAAGAACUGGCCACUGUAACUGUUCUCCUGUAUUUUCAUAGUCAUUAUUUGAAGCUAUUUGGAAUUUUUAUUUUAUUUUUUUCUCUUAUAGGAAAUUUAUAGUCUGUUGGUAUAUAUCAUGUUUCUUGAUUAUCUUUGGCUUUACUUUCUUUGUCAGACUUCAACCUGGUUUGGCUGAUCAAUUAUUCAAGUCUCAGAAAAAUCACAUCCUUGCUGCUCUGAAUAAUUUCUCAAAUUUGUUACGUAUUAGCUACUCUUCACCUCUUUUCUACCAUUUUUGUUUGUUUUGUUUGUAUUGUUUGUAUUUUAUUAUUAUUACUUUUUUUUUUUUCCUUUCUUCCUCAGAUCUUUAUUUAGUUUAUUAGCCCAAUAACUGAAAAUAUGGACUAGUUUAUUUGUAGUUGAAUUUAACAUCAGAGUGGUAACUGAGAAAUGGUUUUAAAAAACAGAAAUAUAUCUUUUGUUGUUAGGAACGGAUAUGUUUUCACAAUACCGGUUCCUCACUGGUCCCAAGAGUUAAUAGUAAUGAGCAUUGACAAUGGUCAUGAAGGUGUCCCAGGGUAAUCCCAACUGGAGCCAAUGCAAGUAAAACUAAAUUCUAUGCUUUUAAUUAUUUGAUGCCGAUACAGUACAAACAGUAGUAUUGUUAACCUUGUUCCUUGUAGCUACUCAUACAUUGUUGUUAUCAUCAAUUCAUGUCCAUGUGAGGUAUCAUUUUUCAGUCCUGCAUUGAGGGCUAGAACUCUUCAACAGCAUCCUAUACAGUUGAUAUUAACCGAUCAUGUAGUCAAAGUUCUACGUUUGAAACUUCGACAGGAUGCUUCAGUGUAACUGCAAUGAUAACAUUUGUAUUUGUCGAGACUUGGAGAAGUUGAGUGGCCUGCUCUUUAUCAUGACUUGCUGUGACUAUGAUAUUGAUGAAUGACUUUCAUGGUCGCCUGUUGCAUGGUAAGUUCCUAGCAAGAGAUACUAUGGUUGACCCGUUAAUGUGAAAUGUAAAGAUAUAAUCAUUGAUUUUGUUGGUGCAAAUGAGAAAUAGUCAUAAAUGUGACUGCCUUUGUUAACUUGGUGGAGCUUUAAAACGAUGUUAAAUUUAUACAAACAUAUAAUUGUUAGCUAUAACC